rnacentral:rRNA from 1 species
ACGGGAGGCAGCAGUGAGGAAUAUUGGACAAUGGACGAAAGUCUGAUCCAGCCAUGCCGCGUGCAGGAUGACGGCCCUAUGGGUUGUAAACUGCUUUUAUACAGGAAGAAACACUCCCACGUGUGGGGGCUUGACGGUACUGUACGAAUAAGGAUCGGCUAACUCCGUGCCAGCAGCCGCGGUAAUACGGAGGAUCCAAGCGUUAUCCGGAAUUAUUGGGUUUAAAGGGUCCGCAGGCGGUCUAUUAAGUCAGAGGUGAAAUCUUGCAGCUCAACUGUAAAAUUGCCUUUGAUACUGGUAGACUUGAGUCAUUGUGAAGUGGCUAGAAUGUGUGGUGUAGCGGUGAAAUGCAUAGAUAUCACACAGAAUACCAAUUGCGAAGGCAGAUCACUAACAAUGUACUGACGCUCAUGGACGAAAGCGUGGGGAGCGAACAGGAUUAGAUACCCUGGUAGUCCACGCCGUAAACGAUGGAUACUAACUGUUCGACCUUCGGGUUGAGUGGUUAAGCGAAAGUGAUAAGUAUCCCACCUGGGGAGUACGCUCGCAAGAGUGAAACUCAAAUGAAUUGACGG